rnacentral:rRNA from 1 species
CCAGACUCCUACGGGGGCAGCAGUGGGGAAUAUUGGACAAUGGACCAAGAGUCUGAUCCAGCAAUUCUGUGUGCACGAUGAAGUUUUUCGGAAUGUAAAGUGCUUUCAGUUGGGAAGAAAAAAAUGACGGUACCAACAGAAGAAGUGACGGCUAAAUACGUGCCAGCAGCCGCGGUAAUACGUAUGUCACAAGCGUUAUCCGGAUUUAUUGGGCGUAAAGCGCGUCUAGGUGGUUAUGUAAGUCUGAUGUGAAAAUGCAGGGCUCAACUCUGUAUUGCGUUGGAAACUGUGUAACUAGAGUACUGGAGAGGUAAGCGGAACUACAAGUGUAGAGGUGAAAUUCGUAGAUAUUUGUAGGAAUGCCGAUGGGGAAGCCAGCUUACUGGACAGAUACUGACGCUGAAGCGCGAAAGCGUGGGUAGCAAACAGGAUUAGAUACCCUGGUAGUCCACGCCGUAAACGAUGAUUACUAGGUGUUGGGGGUCGAACCUCAGCGCCCAAGCAAACGCGAUAAGUAAUCCGCCUGGGGAGUACGUACGCAAGGCUGAAACUCAAAGGAAUUGACGGGGGCCCGCACAAG